AACAGACUUUAUUAAUUAUUAAUCUCUCCUUUCACAUGAUGUGACCAAUCUUUUAUGAACUCAUGGUCUAUUAUAACCUAAUUUGAUAGGGGACUGGUAUGUAUUAAGAGUCUGUGAAGUUCUCAGAAGGAAGUGCCUGGGUAGGAGUAAGAAACUGCUGAGGUUUGCAGGCUGCAGAAUCCAGAAUCUGGUCCUUGUUAGACACCAGAGUUUCUAGGCCGGAACAGAACCCUGAGACAGGUGCUGAUAGGAUCUGCUGCUCGUGGAGCUCCUUCUCUGUAAGGAAGAGAAAAAGCACUUAUUACUCCUGACAGAAUGUUUCUGCUCAGGGCUGUAAAUGAUUUUGUAUUUUGAAGUAGAUAUUGCUUUGUCUGAGGGAGAAAGUCUAGGACUUUUAUUUGCACACUGCAGCACUACAGUCCUUGGGGCAUCAAUGCCAACAUUUAAAGCCUACUGUCUACAUUCCCUGCUUUCUUUCCCUCUGCUUCUUUCCAUCCCCCUGUCCCAGUUGCAUCAUUCUUUUUUUCCCAUAAGCUCCAUCCAGCCUCUUCCAUUCAGCUGGUCUUGUUUUCUGCCAGGUUUGCAGGUUGAAUCAGCACACAGAUGGAAGCAGACAGCUCCCUGCUCCUCAGUUUCAUGGAAGCAGACCCCAGUCACUGUCUUGCUUUCACAAGCUUCAGCAUGAAGUUAAGGGGCUGCAGCACACGGGUCCCCGAGAGAUCAGGAUGUCCCCUCAGUAAUUUCAUUCGGUGCUGGGAUGGAGGAACAGCACAGACAGGAGCUGCUUCUCUGCAAAUUCAGCAGGCAAGUGUUGCAAGAGUUUGCAUUGGGUAUGAACUUGAAAAAGUUAUUUUGCUACUGUGGGUCUGAUUUUUUUUUUUCUUAUUAAAGCUUAGAUUCUGUGGGAAAUCAUGACUGAGACCAGUGUCCGCACUUGCCAGGGAAAUCUUGCAACUGAAAAGCAUCUGAGAGGGUUUUUAAAAGCCCCAUUUGACUAAUCCCAGAAGGAUUAGCACUUUUUUGAUCAGUGCCAACACAAGAAAACCUCACGUACUUUAAGCUGAAGGAUACAUAUAUAUGGGUGUUGCUGAGUUAAAGUUAUGAGGAUCAUGGUGUAUAAAAUCCAGGUACACUCAUGGCCUUGGGGCAUGGAGAGUUUCAAACUAAGCCAGCUAUUGUGCUAUUUGUCUCUUGAAUGAAUGAGAUGGAAGGACAUGCUCUUUUGGCUCCUGAGUGAGAUGACAUAGUUUGACGUUCUGAGUGUAGGAAGUGUAAAACACUAAAUUAAGACUGUAAAUCCAGUGGUGGUCAGCUAAGCAAGUUGGUUAGAAACAUUAGUGGUGAUACAUAUGCAUAGGUUUUUGAGCCUCUUCUGCUUUCAGUUCCACCUGUAUAAGUUUUGACUUCCUAGACUUCCCACAUCAGGCUUAGUUCAGCACUCCUUGGGGCAGAGAAGAGGGCACAGAAGGAAGGAGAAAGGUGAGUGGAACCAAAAUACAUCCUCCAGUUUUACUAUGUGCGCUGCAUUUUUCCUUCCACGUGUUUUUCAACCAUCUAGCCACGUAGAGGGUGAUCCUUUGGACCAACAGGAACUGUGAGGCCACCAAAAAAACCAAGAAGUAGCUGUUGAGACUUCUGCAGUAGCAUCAGUGCUAUAGAGAUGUUUUUAGGGAAAAGCUUCUCUU
rnacentral:lncRNA from 1 species